rnacentral:rRNA from 1 species
CAUUAGCUAGUUGGUGAGGUAACGGCUCACCAAGGCGACGAUGCGUAGCCGACCUGAGAGGGUGAUCGGCCACACUGGGACUGAGACACGGCCCAGACUCCUACGGGAGGCAGCAGUAGGGAAUCUUCCGCAAUGGACGAAAGUCUGACGGAGCAACGCCGCGUGAGUGAUGAAGGUUUUCGGAUCGUAAAGCUCUGUUGUUAGGGAAGAACAAGUGCAAGAGUAACUGCUUGCACCUUGACGGUACCUAACCAGAAAGCCACGGCUAACUACGUGCCAGCAGCCGCGGUAAUACGUAGGUGGCAAGCGUUGUCCGGAAUUAUUGGGCGUAAAGGGCUCGCAGGCGGUUUCUUAAGUCUGAUGUGAAAGCCCCCGGCUCAACCGGGGAGGGUCAUUGGAAACUGGGAAACUUGAGUGCAGAAGAGGAGAGUGGAAUUCCACGUGUAGCGGUGAAAUGCGUAGAGAUGUGGAGGAACACCAGUGGCGAAGGCGACUCUCUGGUCUGUAACUGACGCUGAGGAGCGAAAGCGUGGGGAGCGAACAGGAUUAGAUACCCUGGUAGUCCACGCCGUAAACGAUGAGUGCUAAGUGUUAGGGGGUUUCCGCCCCUUAGUGCUGCAGCUAACGCAUUAAGCACUCCGCCUGGGGAGUACGGUCGCAAGACUGAAACUCAAAGGAAUUGACGGGGGCCCGCACAAGCGGUGGAGCAUGUGGUUUAAUUCGAAGCAACGCGAAGAACCUUACCAGGUCUUGACAUCCUCUGACAACCCUAGAGAUAGGGCUUUCCCUUCGGGGACAGAGUGACAGGUGGUGCAUGGUUGUCGUCAGCUCGUGUCGUGAGAUGUUGGGUUAAGUCCCGCAACGAGCGCAACCCUUGAUCUUAGUUGCCAGCAUUCAGUUGGGCACUCUAAGGUGACUGCCGGUGACAAACCGGAGGAAGGUGGGGAUGACGUCAAAUCAUCAUGCCCCUUAUGACCUGGGCUACACACGUGCUACAAUGGACAGAACAAAGGGCUGCGAGACCGCAAGGUUUAGCCAAUCCCACAAAUCUGUUCUCAGUUCGGAUCGCAGUCUGCAACUCGACUGCGUGAAGCUGGAAUCGCUAGUAAUCGCGG